rnacentral:tRNA from 1 species
UAUAUUUUAGUGUAUGAAGAACAUAAAUUUUUGAAAUUUAAAGAAAUAGUUUAAUUCUAUUAAAUAUAA